rnacentral:rRNA from 1 species
UACGGAGGAUCCAAGCGUUAUCCGGAAUCAUUGGGUUUAAAGGGUCCGUAGGCGGGACAAUCAGUCAGCGGUGAAAGUCUGUGGCUCAACCAUAGAAUUGCCAUUGAUACUGUUGUUCUUGAAUACUUAUGAAGUGGUUGGAAUAUGUAGUGUAGCGGUGAAAUGCAUAGAUAUUACAUAGAACACCGAUUGCGAAGGCAGAUCACUAAUAAUUUAUUGACGCUGAUGGACGAAAGCGUGGGUAGCGAACAGG